AGGCGGGGCUGGCAGCAGAGUAUAAAUAGGAGGAAGAAGACCUAGAGGAAGAGACAGAGAGCAACAAAACAACACGGAGAGGAGAACAUCAGCCAGCUAUGGAGGAAGAGUGAAAGUAAGACUUAGAGAAGAGAAAGAUAAAAGCCCAGAGGAAAAGGUCUGUGGAAAAGGUAGCAGUACUCUCAGUAAGUGUGAACUCUGGCAUAAAGGCCAUCUCAGACUUGUCCUCUGAGGACACAGCUCCCAAACUGAAAAGACGAAGCAUUCACACUGCUAUCUGUUCUACUUUCUAAAGAGUCACCAGUGACAACUUCCAACACUGUAGGACAGAAUGCAGAGGCAUGGUUCCUGUCCAUUGAAGCUCCUGUCCCUCCCUUUGGGACUAACAAGAUGAGCCUCCUCUCAACACCAUUCAGAACCCUGAAGCCCACCCAAGUAUCAGGAAGACAUAGGCAACCUACCUAAUAUCUCUGGCACAACAAUUAUACCAAUCUGGUUGUUCCUUAGGCU